rnacentral:rRNA from 1 species
UCCAGGCGGGGAACUUAAUGCGUUAGCUGCGACACAGAAUCCGUGGAAUGGACCCUACAUCUAGUUCCCAACGUUUACGGCGUGGACUACCAGGGUAUCUAAUCCUGUUCGCUCCCCACGCUUUCGCUCCUCAGCGUCAGUAAUGGCCCAGAGAUCUGCCUUCGCCAUCGGUGUUCUUCCUGAUAUCUGCGCAUUCCACCGCUACACCAGGAGUUCCAAUCUCCCCUACCACACUCUAGUUUGCCCGUACCCACUGCAGGCCCGAGGUUGAGCCUCGGGAUUUCACAGCAGACGCGACAAACCGCCUACGAGCUCUUUACGCCCAAUAAUUCCGGACAACGCUUGCACCCUACGUAUUACCGCGGCUGCUGGCACGUAGUUAGCCGGUGCUUUUUCUGCAGGUACCGUCACUUUCGCUUCUUCCCUACUAAAAGAGGUUUACAACCCGAAGGCCGUCGUCCCUCACGCGGCGUUGCUGCAUCAGGCUUGCGCCCAUUGUGCAAUAUUCCCCACUGCUGCCUCCCGUA